rnacentral:lncRNA from 1 species
CUCAGCACGUUCUCCUCCUACUUUUUCGUCUUCCUCCUCUCCGGCCGGCGGCGACCGCAGCUGCCCGUCGUUUGGUAGACACAGCCCUCACGAUAUUCAGGUCCCCCCAGACAAACAGAGCGCUAGAGAGAGAAAGCGAGAGAGAGAGAGACGAGGACAACCCGACACUGUUGGCUUUUGACUCGUCCUACGGCAUCCUGAG